rnacentral:rRNA from 1 species
UACGAAGGGGGCUAGCGUUGCUCGGAAUCACUGGGCGUUAAAGGGUGCGUAGGCGGGUCUUUAAGUCAGGGGUGAAAUCCUGGAGCUCAACGUCCAGAACUGCCUUUGAUACUGAAGAUCUUGAGUUCGGGAGAGGUGAGUGGAACUGCGAGUGUAGAGGUGAAAAUUCGUAGAUAUUCGCAAGAACACCAGUGGCGAAGGCGGCUCACUGGCCCGAUACUGGACGCUGAGGCACGAAAGCGUGG